rnacentral:rRNA from 1 species
GACGAACGCUGGCGGCGCGCUUAACACAUGCGAGUCGAACGGAAAGGCCUGCUUUCCCUUGUGGAUUGCGGGUACUCGAGUGGCGAACGGGUGAGUAACACGUGAGUGAUCUGCCCCCAACUUGGGUAUAAGCCUGGGAAACUGGGUCUAAUUCCCGAUAGGACUGCAGGGUGGUGCCUGUGGUGGAAAACGAUUUUCUAGUGGUUGGGGAUGAGCUCGCGGCCUAUCAGCUUGUUGGUGGGGUAAUGGCCUACCAAGGCGGCGACGGGUAGCCGGCCUGGGAGGGUGGACGGCCACAUUGGGACUGAGAUACGGCCCAGACGCCUACGGGAGGCAGCAGUGGGGAAUAUUGCACAAUGGGCGGAAGCCUGAUGCAGCGACGCCGCGUGGGGGAUGACGGCCUUCGGGUUGUAAACUCCUUUCGACCGCGAGGAAGCCACCUGGUUGGAAGGGUGGUGACGGUAGUGGUAGAAGAAGCACCGGCUAACUACGUG